ACUCCUACGGGAGGCAGCAGUGGGAAUAUUGCACAAUGGGAAGCCAUCGAUGCAGCCAUGCCGCGCUGUGUGAAGAAGGCCAAUUCGGGCUUGGUAAAGACACUUUCAGCGAGGAGGAAAGGGUGUGUGCUAAUACCAUACAUCUGUGACGUUACUCGCAGAAGAAGCACCGGCUAACUCCGUGCCAGCAGCCGCGGUAAUACGGAGGGUGCGAGCGUUAAUCGGAAUUACUGGGCGUAAAGCGUGCGCAGGCGGUUUGUUAAGCGAGAUGUGAAAGCCC
rnacentral:rRNA from 1 species